ensembl:lncRNA
CUGAGCCACCAGGGAAGCCUUUGAGGUUUGAACAUCUCUGGCCAUGAGAUGCUGCUAUAAUCAGCAGAUUCCAGCCUCUCCUCCCACCUCCUCCUUCUCAAGAGUUUCACUUUGAUGUGUCAAAUGAAAUGCCCUGAACUCUGGAGGAGAGUCAUCCCUAUGUGAGGACAGAAUAAACAGCAGGUGUGACUGGGGCUUUAGGAGAUGUGCCAGGGCUCCUCUUCCAUUUUUAGGGAUAAAAAAGAAGAAUAUUUCAAAUGCUUUAGUUCUCAGAAGUCAAAGACAGUUUCCAAAAGAGUCUGCAAAUAGAAAGUAAACACUUCAGAGUGAAGCUGCAUCACAGAGGUGCCUCUCAGUGUCCUGUUGACUGUGAUGAGGAAGCUGAAACCUACAUGCUG